rnacentral:lncRNA from 1 species
UAAUAAUUUUUUGUUUUAUUUUAUUACGGUAAGAACACUUGACAUGAAAUCUGCACUCUCAACAGAUUUUCAAGUGUAUAAUGCGGUAUUGUUAUCUACGAGAGACAGCAAAACUAACAGAUGGAAUCUCCUUUGGUACUCCUUUGGGCAUUUUUCCUCCUGGCACUGCAACUGUCUGGGUCUAACAUUGGGUCCCAGAAGGAAACACAUUUCAGACAUAGAGCCCUGGGCCUUUUGCCAGCUUCAGAAAUUUGGUUGCCAGGUGUUCCUCAAUGAAAGAUCUUUUGAAGUUUCUGUUUUGAUUCUUACUCAAGAGUGACUAGAAGAUAAACACGUUGAGUAUCAUUUUUGUAUUAUUGAUAUGUGUACUCUUUUAGUACUUCCUGCAUACCAGGAAUUGAGGGGCAUGUGCAAAUGGAGAGAGCAAAGCUUCAGGUCCACUAAAGCUGUAAAUACUUAUGCAUAGGUUAUAGUUUCUGGCAUAUGUAUUUCCUAAUGAUACAAAUUAGGGUGGAGAAGGGAAAAGUGUCAUCAUGGUGCUGUUUCUGCAGCUGCUCCUUCUCUUGUUCUGUUAAAGAGGAAGUUGUCAGCACCCAACAGUAACAAUUAAGUUCAUGUUAGAAGCCACUGGUUGAAAUCCAUGUAGAAGACCUUUGCCUAAUUUAACAUGGCAGUGGGAGACUGGUAUCUGGCAGAGAAUGAAAGAGGAUGCGUUAUUGCAAAGUGGGAAUUUUGAGAUUAUCUACCAAACAAUUUGAAAAAGUCCCUAUUGGUCUUUGAUGCCCCAAGCUCCCAUUUUUGCAUAAGUUUUACUUUGUUACUAUUGUGCGUGUGUAUGUAUGUGUAUACACUUAAGUGUAAAUAUCUGACAGCUACGAUAAAGAAAAUUGAGAAAAAAAAGCAAAGAAAAAUCAUGCAUAACAUCUCUAACCUAGUCACUGUCCUUUUAAUUCUUUUGAAUUUUUCGCAAAAGCUUUCAAAACUAUAGUUAAUAAUUAUAUUUAUAUCAUCAUCAUUUUCCAUUUUAUUCAUUGUGUUUUUUCUUAAAGCCACGUAACAUUCCAUUGAGUAUGCUGUUCUAAAUAUUUUCAAAUGUUGGGUAUAUAGAGUUUUCCUCCAGCUUCUCAAUAUUAUAAUAAUAUAUUCAACAGCUUCACAUACAUAGAAUUUUCUCUAUUUUAUUUUCUUAGAUUGCCACUACAUUUUUAUUGCUCUUGCUACAUAUAAUCAUUGUUUUUCCAAGAGAUAGUACUAAUUGGCACGAUCACUAGCAAUGUAUGAAGUCCAGUUGUGCCACAUCCUUGAAUAUUUUUGUUUACUAAUUUUGCUAGAUUAAUUGAAACAGUCUCAUUAUUUCUUUAAUUAGCACCAGUGAUUGGAUUUUCUUCAUGUGUAUUUACUAGUUGUAUUUCUUUCAUGAAUUGUUUCUCCUUUGCAUACAAAUCUAUUGAGGUCUUGGGAAUUAACUUUAACUUUUAAAAAUGUCUACAUAUGUAUCUCACAUAUUGCUCAUAUUGCUAUCACAUAAAAAUAUCUACUUUUUGGUAUUUUAAGUAUAUCCUUCUGGCUUUAUAUGUGCAUCCAGUUUUGUUUUUUUCAAUGAACAAAUACAAAAUCACGUUAACCUACCUUUUUCUCAUUCUGUAUUCUAAUGCCUUUAUAUGAAAAUUUUAAUAUUUUACAAUUGGUGAUUAAUGCCCUUUCCUGAAAUUUGGAAAAAUGUAUAUAGAAAACUAUAAAGAAGAAAAAUGACCUAUUAUUUUACCACCCAGAGAUAAUGGCUAUCAAUAUAUUUUAGUUCCUUUCCAUUUUUAAUGCAUCCAUGUUUUUCCUCAAAAUUAUCAUGCUAUAUACACACAAAUAUAUGAUGUUUACUGAAUAUUCAGUAUAUUGUUAUUUCAAAAUUAUCAUGGUCUUGGAGGUUUGUUUUCAAUUUUUAUUAUUUUAAAUGUUUUCAGUAAACAUCUUUUUAUAAAAGUCUUUGUUCUUCAGGAACAGAAAACCAAACACCGCAUGUUCUCACUCGUAAGUGAGAGUUGAGCAAUGAGAGCACAUGAACACAGGGAGGGGAAC